AAAGAUCCGGGAGUCUAGAAAGGAAGGCGACGAUUGUGCACGGCCUUACAGGAGGGGUAUGGGAAAUUGUUUUGGGGUCAUUUAAAUCCUAAUUUCUUGUCCUCUUUUUACAUAGCCAGUCUGUCCUUCUUUCCUUUAGUUUCUGAUUACUGGUGAGAGAGAACUAAUUUGGUUUAAGAUCUGGAUUAGUUCAGUGCUGCUUCACCUGGUCAGCUCUCGAGAGAUAAAAGUCCUGGGCUUUCUUUUUUUUUUUUUUUUCUUGCUAAUGGUGCCACGAAAGGGGAUCCUUGCUAGUUGUAAUCCUGUGGGGAGAAACUAGUGGUGUGGCCCGUCCUCAAGGAACUGAAAUCAACAUCUCGUUUUCGCCUAGGCCUUCGACAGUUGUAAUGUGAUUAAUGUUGAACAUGACAUGGAACCUUUGCUCAAGAGCAGAAAGGUCCCAAACUCGUGAAGAGGAACCUGAUUUUUCAGAGAGCCUUUGACUUAACACAUACCUUAAAUACAUCCUUCCUUGAACAGAAAGCACAAGUUGGAGAAUGAGUUCUCAUUUCUGCUUAUAUCAUUAUUCUUUAGUGUUGCAAUCUGGUUCCUAAGGAGGAAGAGGAAGGCAGCCCUGGAGUGGUUUCUUUACAGUAAUUUCAACAGAAGAGUGAGAGAUGGAACCCGAAGAAGAAAGGAUUCGUUACAGCCAGAGAUUGCGUGGUACCAUGCGACGGCGCUAUGAAGAUGAUGGCAUUUCAGGUGAUGAAAUUGAAGGGAAAAGAACUUUGACUUGGAAGAGAAACUGCAUACCAACAAAUAUAAUGCCAAUUUUGUUACUUUUAUGGAAGGAAAAGGUCAGUAUAAUUUUGGUUCCAACAUAUAGUACUUUGGUGUGGGAAGUCAUAGAAUGUGAGCAUUGGGGGUUUAGCAUUUAUCUAGCUAAAAUAUUGCCUGUUGAUGUUAUUUUCUCUUGUUAUUCAGUGCCCCUUGUAUGCACUCGACCCCGAGUCCUCCCACCCUGUGAGUCAUUCUCUGCUAUAUUAGAAGUAAUCUUUUAUUAG
rnacentral:lncRNA from 1 species